rnacentral:rRNA from 1 species
UACGUAGGGGGCAAGCGUUGUCCGGAUUUAUUGGGCGUAAAGAGCGUGUAGGCGGCUAGAUAGGUCCGUUGUGAAAACUCGAGCUCAACCUCGAGACGCCGGUGGAAACCAUCUAGCUAGAGUCCGGAAGAGGAGAGUGGAAUUCCUGGUGUAGCGGUGAAAUGCGUAGAUAUCUGGAGGAAUACCGGUGGCGAAGGCGGCAUCCUGGACCGACAUUGACGCUGAACGGCGAAAGCUAGGGGAGCAAACGGG